AACGAACGCUGGCGGCAGGCCUAACACAUGCAAGUCGAGCGAGGACUUCGGUUCUAGCGGCGGACGGGUGAGUAACGCGUGGGAAUGUGUCCUUCUCUACGGAAUAGCCCUGGGAAACUGGGAGUAAUACCGUAUACGCCCUAUUGGGGAAAGAUUUAUCGGAGAAGGAUCAGCCCGCGUUGGAUUAGGUAGUUGGUGGGGUAAUGGCCUACCAAGCCGACGAUCCAUAGCUGGUUUGAGAGGAUGAUCAGCCACACUGGGACUGAGACACGGCCCAGACUCCUACGGGAGGCAGCAGUGGGGAAUCUUAGACAAUGGGGGCAACCCUGAUCUAGCCAUGCCGCGUGAGUGAUGAAGGCCUUAGGGUUGUAAAGCUCUUUCAGCUGGGAAGAUAAUGACGGUACCAGCAGAAGAAGCCCCGGCUAACUCCGUG
rnacentral:rRNA from 1 species